GAAUUUCGUUGAAUCUUCAUAUUGUGGGAGUAAGGCUGACUUAAGCGUUUUUUAACCUUUUUUAUUUAUCUAUUUAAUUGUUUAAUCAUUAAUUAUUCUUUUACUUUUAUUUGUUUAUUUAUCCAUCAACUUUCUUAUUUACAUAUUGUUCAUUCAUUUAACCAUUCUUAUCAUUCUUUUAUUUUUUUCAUUAAUUAUAUACUUUAUUUGUUUUUAAUAUUAUGUCAC
rnacentral:lncRNA from 1 species